rnacentral:rRNA from 2 species
UGGGGAAUAUUGCGCAAUGGGGGAAACCCUGACGCAGCGACGCCGCGUGAGCGAAGAAGGCCUUCGGGUUGUAAAGCUCUGUUGUAAGGGAAGAAGUUCCUAUGUAGUAAAAUGAUGUAGGGAUGACGGUACCUUACGAGGAAGCCCCGGCUAACUACGUGCCAGCAGCCGCGGUAAGACGUAGGGGGCGAGCGUUGUCCGGAAUUACUGGGCGUAAAGAGCACGUAGGCGGGUUAAUAAGUCAAAUGUGAAAGACCGGGGCUCAACUCCGGGAUUGCAUCUGAAACUGUUGAUCUUGAGGGCAGGAGAGGACAGUAGAAUUCCUGGUGUAGCGGUGAAAUGCGUAGAAAUCAGGAGGAAUACCAGUGGCGAAGGCGACUGUCUGGACUGACCCUGACGCUGAGGUGCGAAAGCGUGGGGAGCAAACAGG